rnacentral:misc_RNA from 1 species
GAAAUGCGAUAAGUAAUGUGAAUUGCAGAAUUCAGUGAAUCAUCGAAUCUUUGAACGCACCUUGCGCUCCUUGGUAUUCCUUGGAGCAUGCCUGUUUGAGUAUCAUGAAAUCUUCAAAGUAAAUCUUUUGUUAACUCAAUUGGUUUCUACUUUGGUAUUGGAGGUCUUUGCAGCUUCACACCUGCUCCUCUUUGUUCAUUAGCUGGAUCUCAGUGUUAUGCUUGGUUCCACUCGGCGUGAUAAGUUAUCUAUCGCUGAGGACACUGUAAAAGGGGCCAAGGUAAAUGCAGAUGAACCGCUUCUAAUAGUCCAUUGACUUGGACAAUACUUUUAUGAUCUGAUCUCAAAUCAGGUAGGACUACCCGCUGAACUUAAGC